GGAAGGUGCCACAAAGUGAAACUGGCUUCUGGAUCUGCCGGGUGAGAGUGAAAGUAAAGGUCACUUUUUGGUCCCCUGAGACCAAGACGCGACGGCAGCUCAUCCCUCAGCCCCGCAUCCUUCCUUCCGAGCCCCGGAUCACGCAGACCUUACAGAGUCUUCAUACGGAGUGGUGAACACCACCAGUUUCUCAUCUUUGUUCAUGAGCUGUCCGCACGGAAUCUAAAAGAAAAAAAAAUGAAGGACGUGAGGCUCAGACGUGUCUCAAAUGAAGUUUACUAUCCCAGCCAGAUGCGAGAAGACAGACCACAAGCUUACCUUCUGCCGGGUCCUAAUCAAAGUGACAAAGGAGACAAUUGGACAAAAGAUACUCUGCAAUCAAAGGGCUUCUCUUUCAAGUGGAAGCAAAUAAAUAAAAUAAAGCCCACCCUGAGGACACAGGCCUUGUCAA